AUGCAGUCGAACGAGAAAGCACCCUUCGGGGUGUGAGUACAGUGGCGAACGGGAGAGUAACGCGUGGGAAACCUACCAUUGAGCGGGGGAUAACAUCCCUAACGGGGUGCUAAUACCGCAUACGUCGAUGUGUCUCCUGACACAUCGGGAAAGCGGGCCUCUACAUGUAAGCUCGCACUCAAUGAUGGUCCCGCGUCCUAUUAGCUUGUUGGUGGGGUAACGGCCUACCAAGGCAACUAUAGGUAGCCGGCCUGAGAGGGUGUCCGGCCUCACUGGGACUGAGAUACGGCCCAGACUCCUACGGGAGGCAGCAGUCGAGAAGCUUCGGCAAUGGGCGAAAGCCUGACCGAGCGACGCCGCGUGAGCGAUGAAGGCCCUUGUGGUUGUAAAGCUCUGUCAGGAGGGGAUAAAGCGUCGUGGUUAAUACCCACUACGUCUGAAGGUACCUCCAGAGGAAGCUCCGGCUAACUCCGUGCCAGCAGCCGCGGUAAUACGGAGGGAGCAAACGUUGUUCGGAUUUACUGGGUGUAAAGGGUGCGUAGGCGGCUACGUGUGUCGGAGGUGAAAUCCAGCGGCUCAACCGUUGGACUGCCCCCGAAACUGCGUAGCUUGAGUCCGUGAGAGGUUGGUGGAAUUCCUGGUGUAACGGUGAAAUGUGCAGAUAUCAGGAAGAACACCCGUGGCGAAGGCGGCCAACUGGCACGGUACUGACGCUGAGGCACGAAAGCUAGGGUAUCGAACGGGAUUAGAUACCCCGGUAGUCCUAGCCGUAAACG
rnacentral:rRNA from 1 species